GCAUAUCAAUAAGCGGAGGAAAAGAAACCAACAGGGAUUACCUCAGUAACGGCGAGUGAAGCGGUAAAAGCUCAAAUUUGAAAUCUGGCUCUUUUAGAGUCCGAAUUGUAAUUUGUAGAUGAUGCUUCGGGUGUGGUUCCGGUCUAAGUUCCUUGGAACAGGACGUCAUAGAGGGUGAGAAUCCCGUAUGUGACUGGAUACCUAUGCUCAUGUGAAGCUCUUUCGACGAGUCGAGUUGUUUGGGAAUGCAGCUCAAAAUGGGAGGUAUAUUUCUUCUAAAGCUAAAUAUUGGCCAGAGACCGAUAGCGCACAAGUAGAGUGAUCGAAAGAUGAAAAGCACUUUGUAAAGAGAGUUAAACAGUACGUGAAAUUGUUGAAAGGGAAGCGCUUGCAAUCAGACUUGCACUUGGUGUUCAUCAGGGUCUCGUACCCUGUGUACUUCAUCAAGUUCAGGCCAGCAUCAGUUUGAGUGGUUAGAUAAAGGCUUAGAGAAUGUGGCCCUCUUCGGGGGGUGUUAUAGCUCUAGGUGCAAUGUAGCCUACUUGGACUGAGGACCGCGCUUCGGCUAGGAUGCUGGCGUAAUGGUUGUAAGCGACCCGUCUUGAAACACGGACC
rnacentral:rRNA from 1 species